UGAUCUAAAGUUUACAAGUGUUUUUUUUGUUUUUUUUUAGUGUAGAAAAUCUAAAAUAACUGUGUCGAGAAACCAGUUAUAUUCAUAGAAGCAUUGAAUGUUCCAGGGCUGUCAUGCAUCUAGAUCUGGAAGAGUGGAUUGAUGAUUCGCCAAGUGGCUCCUUCCAUUGCCUCCACCGCUGCCUGUCCACCUGCAAGAGGGAUGAAUUUUUUCCAUUUAUUUCUUUAUUCUCCUACAUCUCUUUGAAAACUAUCAUAAUUUGUUGGUAUUUUUAAA